rnacentral:rRNA from 1 species
GACGAACGCUGGCGGCGUGCUUAACACAUGCAAGUCGAACGGAAAGGCCCUGCUUGCAGGGUACUCGAGUGGCGAACGGGUGAGUAACACGUGGGUGAUCUGCCCUGCACUUCGGGAUAAGCCUGGGAAACUGGGUCUAAUACCGGAUAGGAGCCAUUUUUAGUGUGAUGGUUGGAAAGUUUUUUCGGUGUAGGAUGGGCUCGCGGCCUAUCAGCUUGUUGGUGGGGUAAUGGCCUACCAAGGCGGCGACGGGUAGCCGGCCUGAGAGGGUGGACGGCCACAUUGGGACUGAGAUACGGCCCAGACUCCUACGGGAGGCAGCAGUGGGGAAUAUUGCACAAUGGGCGCAAGCCUGAUGCAGCGACGCCGCGGGGGGGAUGACGGCCUUCGGGUUGUAAACUCCUUUCGCUAGGGACGAAGCUUUUUGUGACGGUACCUAGAGAAGAAGCACCGGCUAACUACGUG